GAACGGAUGGCUUAGUGGUCAGGGCGCUUGGCUGGUUUCCAAGAGGCGCGAGUUUAAAUCCCGCUCGUACU
rnacentral:tRNA from 1 species